UACGGAGGGUGCGAGCGUUGUCCGGAUUUACUGGGCGUAAAGGGCGCGUAGGCGGCCACCGCAAGUCAGCUGUGAAAGCUCUGGGCUUAACCCAGAAAGGUCAACUGAUACUGCGGGGCUAGAGUGCAGAAGGGGCAACUGGAAUUCUCGGUGUAGCGGUGAAAUGCGUAGAUAUCGAGAGGAACACCUGCGGCGAAGGCGGGUUGCUGGGCUGACACUGACGCUGAAGUGCGAAAGCUAGGGGAGCGAACGGG
rnacentral:rRNA from 1 species